rnacentral:rRNA from 1 species
CCUACGGGGGGCAGCAGUGGGGAAUAUUGCACAAUGGGCGCAAGCCUGAUGCAGCCAUGCCGCGUGUGUGAAGAAGGCCUUCGGGUUGUAAAGCACUUUCAGCGGGGAGGAAGGCGGUGAGGUUAAUAACCUCAUCGAUUGACGUUACCCGCAGAAGAAGCACCGGCUAACUCCGUGCCAGCAGCCGCGGUAAUACGGAGGGUGCAAGCGUUAAUCGGAAUUACUGGGCGUAAAGCGCACGCAGGCGGUCUGUCAAGUCGGAUGUGAAAUCCCCGGGCUCAACCUGGGAACUGCAUUCGAAACUGGCAGGCUAGAGUCUUGUAGAGGGGGGUAGAAUUCCAGGUGUAGCGGUGAAAUGCGUAGAGAUCUGGAGGAAUACCGGUGGCGAAGGCGGCCCCCUGGACAAAGACUGACGCUCAGGUGCGAAAGCGUGGGGAGCAAACAGGGUUAGAUACCCCUGUAGUC